GAUAACUACUUGGAUUGUAAAACUGUAAAUUUUACUAAAUCAAGAAAAAACGUUAUCA
rnacentral:tRNA from 1 species